rnacentral:tRNA from 1 species
CAAAAAAUAGUUUAUAAAAAUAAUAAUUUUGGAGAUUAUAGAUAAAUAGUUUAUUUUUUUUUGA